rnacentral:rRNA from 1 species
ACGCGGUGAAUACGUUCCCGGACCUUGUACACACCGCCCGUCAAGCCAUGGGAGUCGGGGAGACCUGAAGCGGUAGGUUAAAGACACCGUUAGGGUAAAACUCGGCGACUGGGGCU